rnacentral:lncRNA from 1 species
GCCAUCAGGUGGGGCCAUGCAUGGAAAUGGAAUCAAGAAGAUGAGGUUCAAAUCCUGCUUCAGAUGCCUGGAGUCCUGGGGCUUCACCAGAUUGCCAAAGCUGUUCAAGACAGAAAAGUUAAGAAUCCUUGGACUGGGGCAGUUGGAUAGCACAAGAGAGCCACAGAUAUUUCCUUGUUGUGUGACUCUGGACAAGUCACUUACCCCCAGUGACAGAGCCCUUGCUGCUUUUCUGCCUUGGAAUGAUUCUAAGACAGAAGUGUUUAAAACAAAAUCUCUGGAUCAGUGGGUCUCCAAGUCCAUUAAGUUCUGAUACUCUGUGGUAAUAAUUUAUUCAGAUCCCUGAUUAAUUUGGGGACUAAAGGCAAGAGAGAAUAUUUUUUAAAGUGGAUCAAGGAUUUCUAUGAGGACUGGAAGACCUCCAUGAACUGAUGUGCAGUGAAAUAAGCAGAACCAGGAGAACAUUAUAUACAAAGACUGCAAUAUUGUGGGGUGAACAAACGUGAUUGACUUUGCUCCCAAAAGCAAUGCAAUGAACCAGGACAAUUCUGAGGGACUUAUGAGAAAGAAUGCUAUCCACAUCUAGAAAAAGAACUGUGGGAGUAGAAAUUCAGAAGAAAACAUGUGAUUUAUCACCUGUUUAUAUGGGUAUGUGAUUUAGGGUAUUGGUUUUAAAGGGCUGUUCUUUUACAAAAAUGAAUAAUAUGGAAAUGGGUUCAAGUGAUAAUAGAUUUAUGUAUAUAACCCAGUGGAAUUGCUUGUCAACUCCAGGAGGGAGGACAGACAAAGGGAGGGAGAAAACAUGAGUCAUCUGUAAACAUGGAAAAAAAUUAAAAGAUAUUUUUUUAAAAAGUGGAUUAAAUGAAGUGACUUACUGUUUAGUCCCAGCUAAUUUAAAUGGACUAGUUAAUUGAAAAGGAAAACCUCAAUUCAAAGUCUAGGAAAUUCAACCUAAAUUGUUUCUUAUUCAUAAAGUUUUCUUAGAUGAAUUCAGCAAAUUCAUUAGCAUUGUGGAG